rnacentral:rRNA from 1 species
AUACGUAGGUGGCAAGCGUUAUCCGGAAUUAUUGGGCGUAAAGAGGGAGCAGGCGGCAGCAAGGGUCUGUGGUGAAAGCCUGAAGCUUAACUUCAGUAAGCCAUAGAAACCAGGCAGCUAGAGUGCAGGAGAGGAUCGUGGAAUUCCACGUGUAGCGGUGAAAUGCGUAGAUAUAUGGAGGAACACCAGUGGCGAAGGCGACGAUCUGGCCUGCAACUGACGCUCAGUCCCGAAAGCGUGGGGAGCAAAUAGGAUUAGAUACCCUAGUAGUCCACGCCGUAAACGAUGAGUACUAAGUGUUGGAUGUCAAAGUUCAGUGCUGCAGUUAACGCAAUAAGUACUCCGCCUGAGUAGUACGUUCGCAAGAAUGAAACUCAAAUGAAUUGACGGGG